GAACCUCUGAACCCACCGAUCCAUAUUAAACCAGCAACCUCAGAUGUGGGUCAACUAGAUGCUUAACCUGUCAAUAUUUGUGCCAUGGGAUAUCCAACUUCAAUUCCGCCUCUAAUGAUCAGACCUAUAUAGUUAAUUCAAGUAUCACAUGCAAUUCUUUCUUGUUUACCGCCUCACCUGUUCAUGUGGACUCUUAUAUGUAGGUCAAACCACCAGAACAUUAAACACCAGGUUCAGAGAACACAGAUUGGCCAUUAUGCAUAAAGACUGCAGCGAUUCCUGGUAACAGGAGCUAACAGACUGCAGAAUCCACCUUCAUUUUGUGGCGGGCAGUUUGGCAUGCUCCCCCAGCAUUGAGGUACAGUGAGUUGCUCUGGCUUACCCCCAGCAUUUCUUUAGACUUGGGGCACGUUCCAGGGCAG